UACGUAGGUGGCAAGCGUUGUCCGGAUUUACUGGGUGUAAAGGGAGCGCAGGCGGGAAGGCAAGUCAGCUGUGAAAUACAUGGGCUUAACCCAUGGACUGCAGUUGAAACUGUCAUUCUUGAGUGAAGUAGAGGUAGGCGGAAUUCCGAGUGUAGCGGUGAAAUGCGUAGAUAUUCGGAGGAACACCAGUGGCGAAGGCGGCCUACUGGGCUUUAACUGACGCUGAGGCUCGAAAGCGUGGGGAGCAAACAGG
rnacentral:rRNA from 1 species